rnacentral:rRNA from 1 species
CCUGUUUAUCAAAAACAUGGCCUUUUGAUUUAUGUGUAAUAUAAAAGGUUGGACCUGCCCAGUGGUUUAUCUAAAUGGCUGCAGUGAAUAACUGUACAAAGGUAGCGAAAUCAGUUGUCCUUUAAAUGGGGGAAGGUAUGAAAGGUUUGACGGUAAAGAAGCUGUCUCUUAAAAAUAGUGUGAAGUUUCCGUCUAAGUGAAAAGGCUUAGAUUUUUUAAAAAGACGAGAAGACCCUAUUGAGCUUAAUUAUAUUUUUUUUUAUUAAGAAAGUUGAAGUUUUAUUGGGGCAAUAGGAAGCUAUAAGUAAUGCUUCUUUUUAAGGUAAGGAUCCUCCAUGGGAGAAGUAAGCAAAAGUUACCAUAGGGAUAACAGCGUUAUCUUUCUUAAGAGUUCUAAUUGAGGGAAAGGUUUGCGACCUCGAUGUUGGAUUAAGAUGUCUUUUUGGUGCAGCAGCUAAAAAAGUAAGACUGUUCGUCUUUUAAAAUUUUACGUGAUCUGAGUCCAGACCG